UUCCAAUAAACAAAGAAUCAGCAUCACUUAGACCAGUUGAAAACGCAUAACUAGAAUACUGUUGAUCAAGAAUACUAGAUGUUUCAGAUACACACGCCUCAAUAAUCCUAGAGGUUAACCUCGACUGCCAAAAUAAAAAGCUUACCUCAAACAUCAAUCUAUCUUAAAUAAUGAUUUUACAAGGAUUUUUAAAAGGGGUUUAAAAACGAUAAUGAUUUUACAAGAUUUUUUAAAAGGAUUAUUACCUGAGUAGUAGAUGCAGAAUGAGAAGCAAAAGGAUUUGAAGUCGUCUCAGCCUGUAAUAAACUCAAUCACUGACUUAAUAAUGAUUUUACAAGGAUUUUUAAAAGGGGUUUAAAAACGUUAAUAAUGAUUUUACAAGGAUUUUUAAAAGGGGUUUAAAAACGUUAAUAAUGAUUUUACAAGGAUUUUUAAAACGAUUAGUACCUGAGCAUUAGGGACAGAAUGAGAAACAAAAGGAUUUGAAGUAGUCUCAGCCUAUAAUAAGCACAAUCACUGACUUAAUAAUGAUUUUACAAGGAUUUUUAAAAUUAUAACACAAGAAGGUUAUUGAAAAACCUGCUCAACUGUCACAGAAAUUUGCUCUAUAGUCAAACAUAACUGAAGCAAUCCUCCACUCUGUGAGAAUUUGUGCAUAAAAGUUGCAAGCUGUCUAUCGUUCCUAGUAUAAAGAGGAUGAGAUUGUAUGGUUGUAGACGUGGAGACUAACUUGUAACUAAGCUUCAAAGAAUUGGUUGAACUAUCUAUUUGAAAAUCCUCUACAAGAAUAUCAACCAACGCGUGAUAGGUAAUGUGCUCAUCAAUGAGCACUAAAGAAGCUCCCAAUUCAAUGUCUAAUUCAAAUUCCCAAGUCAUAUUGUUUGUCAACUUCCACAAGCCACAAACAGAAUACAAUUCUAGCAUUAUAACCUGAUAAGAUAAAUAACAACAAAAUCAACACCUACAAAAACACUGUCACUACAGAGAGAAGCAAGGUUUACAAAUCGUUUUAAAGAGUAAGUAAGUAGCAUAGAAUAAUUUACAAGGGAUUUUAAAAGCUUUGAAAAGUGGUUAACAUGGUUUACAAAUCGUUUUAAAGAGUAAGUAAGUAGCAUAGAAUAAUUUACAAGGGAUUUUAAAAGCUUUGAAAAGUGGUUAACAUGGUUUACAAAUUGUUUUAAAGCGUAAGUAAGUAGCAUAGAAUAAUUUACAAGGGAUUUUAAAAGCUUUGAAAAGUGGUUAACAUGGUUUAUAAAUCGUUUUAAAGCGUAAGUAAGUAGCAUAAAAUAAUUUACAAGGGAUUUUAAAAGCUUUGAAAAGUGGUUAAUAUGGUUUACAAAUCGUUUUAAAGCGUAAGUGACAUAGAUCUAUCACGAAAGCAUAUGCAAAAGAGGUAAACACUAAAUCAGAACCAAAAUCUAUUACGAAAUAGUAUAACGAAUUCACAUAAGCAAAUCUAUCACGAAACAGUAUAACGAAUUCAAAAGGAUUUUAGAACAGUAUAACGAAUGUACAAGGAUUUUAGAAACAAAUUCAAUCAUCAAAUCUCAAACAAAAUUCAAAUUCGAAGCUGAAGCAAAUGUCAAACUGUCGAUUGAAUCAGGAUUCAAAUAACGAAUUCACAUAAUCAACAACAAAAAUCGAAUAAACCAAUUCGAAAACGAAGAUUUAAGCUAACAUUAUAAAAUCAAACCUGGGAAACGCAAGAGAUUCGACGACGACACACAGCUCUACUUACGACGGCGAAGAUGGGUUUUCACGGCGAGUAAACUCACUAUUUCCGACGGCAUGGGAUUCAACGGCAUUCACAAUUUCCGAUGGAGGAAGAAGAGAGAGAGUGAAGAAAUGAAUUAGGUCUGUGGGUAGCUCAUUAAAGGUAAUUUGGGGAGAAAAGUAUUAGAAAGGGUAGAAAUGAAAGUGGGAAAAAAAAGGGUAGAGUUGCAAAAGGGCAUUGAGAAAAGGGCAUUAGAGUGAAUUAUUCUAAUUCUUUUGACAUACAAUUGUUAGUAAUUAUUUAACUGGCCUAUUCUACUUUAUAAAUA
rnacentral:sRNA from 1 species